rnacentral:rRNA from 1 species
AGCGAACGCUGGCGGCAGGCCUAACACAUGCAAGUCGAACGGGCUCUUCGGAGCUAGUGGCGGACGGGUGAGUAACACGUGGGAACGUGCCUUUAGGUUCGGAAUAAGCCCGGGAAACUGGGUCUAAUACCGAAUGUGCCCUUCGGGGGAAAGAUUUAUCGCCUUUAGAGCGGCCCGCGUCUGAUUAGCUAGUUGGUGGGGUAAUGGCCCACCAAGGCUACGAUCAGUAGCUGGUCUGAGAGGAUGACCAGCCACAAUGGGACUGAGACACGGCCCAAACUCCUACGGGAGGCAGCAGUGGGGAAUCUUGCGCAAUGGGCGAAAGCCUGACGCAGCCAUGCCGCGUGGAUGAUGAAGGUCUUAGGAUUGUAAAAUCCUUUCACCGGUGAAGAUAAUGACUGUAGCCGGAGAAGAAGCCCCGGCUAACUUCGUGCCAGCAGCCGCCGUAAAAC